AGUGAACGCUGGCGGUAGGCCUAACACAUGCAAGUCGAACGGCAGCACAGUAAGAGCUUGCUCUUACGGGUGGCGAGUGGCGGACGGGUGAGGAAUACAUCGGAAUCUACUUUUUCGUGGGGGAUAACGUAGGGAAACUUACGCUAAUACUGCAUACGACCUACGGGUGAAAGCAGGGGAUCUUCGGACCUUGCGCGAUUGAAUGAGCCGAUGUCGGAUUAGCUAGUUGGCGGGGUAAAGGCCCACCAAGGCGACGAUCCGUAGCUGGUCUGAGAGGAUGAUCAGCCACACUGGAACUGAGACACGGUCCAGACUCCUACGGGAGGAAGCAGUGGGGAAUAUUGGACAAUGGGCGCAAGCCUGAUCCAGCCAUACCGCGUGGGUGAAGAAGGCCUUCGGGUUGUAAAGCCCUUUUGUUGGGAAAGAAAAGCAGCAGGUUAAUACCCCGCUGUUCUGACGGUACCCAAAGAAUAAGCACCGGCUAACUUCGUG
rnacentral:rRNA from 1 species